AGAACAGGGCUUCCCGUCCGCUCAGCCGUACUUAAGCCACACGCCGGGAGGUUAGUAGUUGGGUGGGUGACCACCAGCGAAUCCCUCCUGUUGUAUGUU
rfam:Aspergillus flavus AF70 587, whole genome shotgun sequence.